rnacentral:rRNA from 1 species
GUGCCAGCAGCCGCGGUAAUACGUAGGGUGCGAGCGUUAAUCGGAAUUACUGGGCGUAAAGCGUGCGCAGGCGGUUCGCUAAGACCGAUGUGAAAUCCCCGGGGCUUAACCUGGGAACUGCAUUGGUGACUGGCGGGCUAGAGUAUGGCAGAGGGGGGGUAGAAUUCCACGUUGUAGCAGUGAAAUGCGUAGAGAUGUGGGAGGAAUACCGAUGGCGAAAGGCAGCCCCCUGGGCCAAUACUGACGCUCAUGCACGAAAGCGUGGGGAGCAAACAGGAUUAGAUACCCCUGGUAGUCC